UUACUGGGCGUAAAGAGCUCGUAGGUGGUUUGUCGCGUUGUUCGUGAAAUCUCACGGCUUAACUGUGAGCGUGCGGGCGAUACGGGCAGACUUGAGUACUGCAGGGGAGACUGGAAUUCCUGGUGUAGCGGUGGAAUGCGCAGAUAUCAGGAGGAACACCGGUGGCGAAGGCGGGUCUCUGGGCAGUAACUGACGCUGAGGAGCGAAAGCGUGGGGAGCGAACAGGAUUAGAUACCCUGGUAGUCCACGCCGUAAACGGUGGGUACUAGGUGUGGGUUUCCUUCCUUGGGAUCCGUGCCGUAGCUAACGCAUUAAGUACCCCGCCUGGGGAGUACGGCCGCGAGGCUAAAACUCAAAGAAAUUGACGGGGGCCCGCACAAGCGGCGGAGCAUGUGGAUUAAUUCGAUGCAACGCGAAGAACCUUACCUGGGUUUGACAUGCACAGGACGCCGGCAGAGAUGUCGGUUCCCUUGUGGCCUGUGUGCAGGUGGUGCAUGGCUGUCGUCAGCUCGUGUCGUGAGAUGUUGGGUUAAGUCCCGCAACGAGCGCAACCCUUGUCUCAUGUUGCCAGCGGAUAAUGCCGGGGACUCGUGAGAGACUGCCGGGGUCAACUCGGAGGAAGGUGGGGAUGACGUCAAGUCAUCAUGCCCCUUAUGUCCAGGGCUUCACACAUGCUACAAUGGCCGGUACAAAGGGCUGCGAUGCCGCGAGGUUAAGCGAAUCCUUUUAAAGCCGGUCUCAGUUCGGAUCGGGGUCUGCAACUCGACCCCGUGAAGUCGGAGUCGCUAGUAAUCGCAG
rnacentral:rRNA from 1 species